rnacentral:rRNA from 1 species
UACGUAGGGGGCAAGCGUUGUCCGGAAUCAUUGGGCGUAAAGAGCGUGUAGGCGGCUUGGUAAGUCCGCUGUGAAAGUCCAGGGCUCAACCCUGGAAAGCCGGUGGAAACUGUCGGGCUUGAGUACGGAAGAGGCGAGUGGAAUUCCUGGUGUAGCGGUGAAAUGCGCAGAUAUCAGGAGGAACACCAAUUGCGAAGGCAGCUCGCUGGGACGUUACUGACGCUGAGACGCGAAAGCGUGGGGAGCAAACAGG